rnacentral:misc_RNA from 1 species
AAGUCGUAACAAGGUUUCCGUAGGUGAACCUGCGGAAGAAUCAUUAACACGUAUCCAAACGGUAAAACCCCCCCCGCGAACCUUCAUCCUGCUCUUGUAACCCGCGUAGUUCGCAAUCUCUGAUAAAUCAUAGCCCGGAAAGUUGUAGUGAUUCAGAGACCUCUGGCUACGUGCGAACAUUGGAACAGUUACGGAAAGUGUCAUUGAUUGUGCAAGGAUAGCGCUUCUACGAUUCCUGUAGACCGUACACUCGGGCAGGAGCUUUGCCAAAGGGUCCCCAUGCCCCCUAAUAACCCCACAGUUUAAUGUGAAGCUCAAUGUAAUACAUUGGGUAAAAAAACCGAACAACUGUUAACAAUGGAUAUCUUGGUUCUC